GGCGUCCGGUGCGCAGACAUGGGUUACUUCGACCUCUUAAGUCGAAAACGCGGGUUCGAAUCCCGCCGGGGCCACCA
rnacentral:tRNA from 1 species